AGUGAACGCUGGCGGUAGGCCUAACACAUGCAAGUCGAACGGCAGCACAGUAAGAGCUUGCUCUUACGGGUGGCGAGUGGCGGACGGGUGAGGAAUACAUCGGAAUCUACUUUUUCGUGGGGGAUAACGUAGGGAAACUUACGCUAAUACCGCAUACGACCUACGGGUGAAAUCAGGGGAUCUUCGGACCUUGCGCGAUUGAAUGAGCCGAUGUCGGAUUAGCUAGUUGGCGGGGUAAAGGCCCACCAAGGCGACGAUCCGUAGCUGGUCUGAGAGGAUGAGCAGCCACACUGGAACUGAGACACGGUCCAGACUCCUACGGGAGGCAGCAGUGGGGAAUAUUGGCCAAUGGGCGCAAGCCUGAUCCAGCCAUACCGCGUGGGUGAAGAAGGCCUUCGGGUUGUAAAGCCCUUUUGUUGGGAAAGAAAAGCAGCAGGUUAAUACCCCGCUGUUCUGACGGUACCCAAAGAAUAAGCACCGGCUAACUUCGUG
rnacentral:rRNA from 1 species